GUGUUUGUGAAGAUGGUAGGUUGGACUGUUUGUGAAGAUGGUAGGUUGGACUGUUUGUGAAGAUGGUAGGUUGGAGUGUGUGUGAAGAUGGUAGGUUGGAGUGUGUGUGAAGAUGGUAGGUUGGAGUGUUUGUGAAGAUGGUAGGUUGGACUGUUUGUGAAGAUGGUAGGUUGGAGUGUUUGUUCGAAGAUGGCAUGUUGGAGUGUUUGUGAAGAUGGUAGGUUGGACUGUUUGUGAAGAUGGUAGGUUGGAGUGUGUGUGAAGAUGGUAGGUUGGAGUGUGUGUGAAGAUGGUAGGUUGGACUGUUUGUGAAGAUGGUAGGUUGGACUGUUUGUGAAGAUGGUAGGUUGGACUGUUUGUGAAGAUGGUAGGUUGGAGUGUGUGUGAAGAUGGUAGGUUGGAUUGUUUGUGAAGAUGGUAGGUUGGACUGUUUGUGAAGAUGGUAGGUUGGACUGUUUGUGAAGAUGGUAGGUUGGACUGUUUGUGAAGAUGGUAGGUUGGAGUGUGUGUGAAGAUGGUAGGUUGGACUGUUUGUGAAGAUGGUAGGUUGGAGUGUGUGUGAAGAUGGUAGGUUGGAUUGUUUGUGAAGAUGGUAGGUUGGACUGUUUGUGAAGAUGGUAGGUUGGACUGUUUGUGAAGAUGGUAGGUUGGACUGUUUGUGUGAAGAUGGUAGGUUGGACUGUUUGUGUGAAGAUGGUAGGUUGGACUGUUUGUGAAGAUGGUAGGUUGGAGUGUUUGUG